UUAUGAAGUCAUCGCACGAUUUUACCUGUCUGCAUACACCGACCAAAAAGGUCAGUGACUGUAUUCUCUUUCGAAUGCUGAAAUCUUUAUUUCUUUUACAAAAUAGCACUGAUGUCAGAGAAUGGAACCAUCGUAACUUGUAUGGGGUCUAUUUUAUUUCGAGUAGGGAUAUUUAUUUACUAUUUAUGUCGUGUCCGUCUGGACAUUCUGCGGAGCGAUUGUUUAUUUAGCGUCCUUGUGAUACGACUAGCGCGUCCUUUUCGAACAAGCCAAGCAAGUUGAGAACCUGCCACAAGAGAGACAAGACGUGUCUAAGGCAGAGAAGAAAGCAGAGUAUUGUGACUAUUGGCUGAUUGCGCAGAAGUAUUUGUAACUCUGAUUUUGAAGUUUUGUGAUUAUUUUGAUGAGAACCGCCGAUUGUUUCUUGUCCGAGAUUUCUUGUUUGUAGCCUCUGAACGAGUGCAUUGCAGGGGUUUUUCCUUUUGUUCAGUUCUCUUUCAUACUAUCUAUAUUGCUCCAUGGUUCGUUCAUUUCGCUGUGUUCCAAAUAAACGUUCUAAACAACGUAUGCAGUCUAUGGUCUACUCCUUGACGUAUUUGUUUG